rnacentral:sRNA from 1 species
UAAUGAACAACGCAAAUUAUCACAUUCUCGAGACAAGACCUUAUUUGGUGCGAGGUCACCUCUUUUACGGACGGCUUGGCCCACGACCACUGAAGUUCUCGAACAGAAUGGAGAAGAAAUCCCAGCGAACAAUCUUGGGUGCGGUGCUUCCCGUCCUCCAAAGGAGGAUGAUGGGGAGGAUCGCAAUGAUUGAGCGUACAU